rnacentral:rRNA from 1 species
UUGGAGGGCAAGUCUGGUGCCAGCAGCCGCGGUAAUUCCGGCUCCAAUAGCGUAUAUUAAAGUUGUUGCAGUUAAAAAGCUCGUAGUUGAACUUCGGGGUUUACCCAUUGGUCAGGCUUAAUUGUCUGUACUGGUGAGAUGAAUCUCUACCUUCUGAGGAACUUUCAUGCCAUUUAUUUGGUGUGAUGGGAAAUCAGGACUGUUACUUUGAAAAAAUUAGAGUGUUUAAAGCAGGCUAACGUCUGAAUACAUUAGCAUGGAAUAAUAAAAUAGGACGGUGGUCCUGUUUUGUUGGUUUCUGAAUCACCGUAAUGAUUAAUAGGGAUAGUUGGGGGCGUUAGUAUUCAAUUGUCAGAGGUGAAAUUCUUGGAUUUAUUGAAGACUAACUUCUGCGAAAGCAUUUGCCAAGGAUGUUUUCAUUAAUCAAGAACGAAAGUUAGGGGAUCGAAGACGAUCAGAUACCGUCGUAGUCUUAACCAUAAACUAUGCCGACUAGGGAUCGGACGAUGUUAAAUUUUAUUGACUCGUUCGGCGCCUUACGGGAAAC